rnacentral:rRNA from 1 species
GCUACGGGGGGCAGCAGUGGGGGAUAUUGCACAAUGGGGGGAACCCUGAUGCAGCGACGCCGCGUGGGUGAAGAAGCGCCUCGGCGCGGACAGCCCUGUCAGCAGGGAAGAAAAUGACGGUACCUGAAGAAGAAGCCCCGGCUAACUACGUGCCAGCAGCCGCGGUAAAACGGAGGCGGCAAGCGUUAUCCGGAUUUACUGGGGGUAAAGGGGGCGCAGACGGCGAUGCAAGCCAGGAGUGAAAGCCCGGGGGCCAACCCCGGUACUGCUCUUGGAACUGCGUGGCUUGAGUGCAGGAGGGGCAGGCGGAAUUCCUGGGGUAGCGGUGAAAUGCGUAGAUAUCAGGAGGAACACCGGUGGCGAAGGCGGCCUGCUGGACUGCAACUGACGUUGAGGCCCGAAAGCGUGGGGAGCAAACAGGAUUAGAUACCCCAGUAGUC